rnacentral:rRNA from 1 species
CCUACGGGAGGCAGCAGUGGGGAAUAUUGGACAAUGGGGGGAACCCUGAUCCAGCCAUGCCGCGUGUGUGAAGAAGGCCCUCGGGUGGUAAAGCACUUUCAGUGAGGAAGAACGCCUGGUGGUUAAUACCCAUCAGGAAAGACAUCACUCACAGAAGAAGCACCGGCUAACUCCGUGCCAGCAGCCGCGGUAAUACGGAGGGUGCGAGCGUUAAUCGGAAUUACUGGGCGUAAAGCGCGCGUAGGUGGCUUGAUAAGCCGGUUGUGAAAGCCCCGGGCUCAACCUGGGAACGGCAUCCGGAACUGUCAAGCUAGAGUGCAGGAGAGGAAGGUAGAAUUCCCGGUGUAGCGGUGAAAUGCGUAGAGAUCGGGAGGAAUACCAGUGGCGAAGGCGGCCUUCUGGACUGACACUGACACUGAGGUGCGAAAGCGUGGGUAGCAAACAGGAUUAGAUACCCGUGUAGUC